rnacentral:rRNA from 1 species
UUGUGAAUAUUGCCCUCUGGGCGGAAGCCUGAUGCAGCGACGCCGCGUGGGGGAUGAAGGCCUUCGGGUUGUAAACUCCUUUCGACAGGGACGAAGCUUUUGUGACGGUACCUGUAUAAGAAGCACCGGCUAACUACGUGCCAGCAGCCGCGGUAAUACGUAGGGUGCGAGCGUUGUCCGGAAUUACUGGGCGUAAAGAGCUCGUAGGUGGUUUGUCGCGUCGUCUGUGAAAUUCCAGGGCUUAACUCCGGGCGUGCAGGCGAUAAGGGCGGACUUGAGUGCUGUAGGGGAGACGGGAAUUCCUGGUGUAGCGGUGAAAUGCGCAGAUAUCAGGAGGAACGCCGAUGGCGAAGGGAGGGCUCUGGGCAGUAACUGACGCUGAGGAGCGAAAGCAUGGGUAGCGAACAGG